AAUGGCGAACGGGUGAGUAACACGUGAGUAACCUGCCCCUGACUCUGGGAUAAGCGUUGGAAACGACGUCUAAUACUGGAUAUGACGGCCGAUCGCAUGGUCUGGUCGUGGAAAGAAUUUUGGUUGGGGAUGGACUCGCGGCCUAUCAGGUAGUUGGUGAGGUAAUGGCUCACCAAGCCGACGACGGGUAGCCGGCCUGAGAGGGUGACCGGCCACACUGGGACUGAGACACGGCCCAGACUCCUACGGGAGGCAGCAGUGGGGAAUAUUGCACAAUGGGCGCAAGCCUGAUGCAGCAACGCCGCGUGAGGGAUGACGGCCUUCGGGUUGUAAACCUCUUUUAGUAGGGAAGAAGCGAAAGUGACGGUACCUGCAGAAAAAGCACCGGCUAACUACGUGCCAGCAGCCGCGGUAAUACGUAGGGUGCAAGCGUUGUCCGGAAUUAUUGGGCGUAAAGAGCUCGUAGGCGGUUUGUCGCGUCUGCUGUGAAAUCCCGAGGCUCAACCUCGGGCUUGCAGUGGGUACGGGCAGACUAGAGUGCGGUAGGGGAGAUUGGAAUUCCUGGUGUAGCGGUGGAAUGCGCAGAUAUCAGGAGGAACACCGAUGGCGAAGGCAGAUCUCUGGGCCGUAACUGACGCUGAGGAGCGAAAGCGUGGGGAGCGAACAGGAU
rnacentral:rRNA from 1 species